GACGAACGCUGGCGGCGUGCCUAAUACAUGCAAGUAGAACGCUGAAGGAGGAGCUUGCUUCUCUGGAUGAGUUGCGAACGGGUGAGUAACGCGUAGGUAACCUGCCUGGUAGCGGGGGAUAACUAUUGGAAACGAUAGCUAAUACCGCAUAAUAGUAGAUGUUGCAUGACAUUUGCUUAAAAGGUGCAAUUGCAUCACUACCAGAUGGACCUGCGUUGUAUUAGCUAGUUGGUGGGGUAACGGCUCACCAAGGCGACGAUACAUAGCCGACCUGAGAGGGGGAGCGGCCACACUGGGACUGAGACACGGCCCAGACUCCUACGGGAGGCAGCAGUAGGGAAUCUUCGGCAAUGGACGGAAGUCUGACCGAGCAACGCCGCGUGAGUGAAGAAGGGUUUCGGAUCGUAAAGCUCUGUUGUAAGAGAAGAACGAGUGUGAGAGUGGAAAGUUCACACUGUGACGGUAUCUUACCAGAAAGGGACGGCUAACUACGUG
rnacentral:rRNA from 1 species